UGUCCCUACGGGGGGCAGCAGUGAGGAAUAUUGGUCAAUGGCCGAGAGGCUGAACCAGCCAAGUCGCGUGGGGGAAGACGGUCCUAUGGAUUGUAAACCUCUUUUGUCGGGGAGCAAAAGACGCCACGCGUGGCGUUCCGAGAGUACCCGAAGAAAAAGCAUCGGCUAACUCCGUGCCAGCAGCCGCGGUAAUACGGAGGAUGCGAGCGUUAUCCGGAUUUAUUGGGUUUAAAGGGUGCGCAGGCGGAAGAUCAAGUCAGCGGUAAAAUUGAGAGGCUCGACCUCUUCGAGCCGUUGAAACUGGU
rnacentral:rRNA from 1 species